AUUGAACGCUGGCGGCAGGCCUAACACAUGCAAGUCGAACGGUAACAGGAAGAAGCUUGCUUCUUUGCUGACGAGUGGCGGACGGGUGAGUAAUGUCUGGGAAACUGCCUGAUGGAGGGGGAUAACUACUGGAAACGGUAGCUAAUACCGCAUAACGUCGCAAGACCAAAGAGGGGGACCUUCGGGCCUCUUGCCAUCGGAUGUGCCCAGAUGGGAUUAGCUAGUAGGUGGGGUAACGGCUCACCUAGGCGACGAUCCCUAGCCGGUCUGAGAGGAUGACCAGCCACACUGGAACUGAGACACGGUCCAGACUCCUACGGGAGGCAGCAGUGGGGAAUAUUGCACAAUGGGCGCAAGCCUGAUGCAGCCAUGCCGCGUGUAUGAAGAAGGCCUUCGGGUUGUAAAGUACUUUCAGCGGGGAGGAAGGGAGUAAAGUUAAUACCUUUACUCAUUGACGUUACCCGCAGAAGAAGCACCGGCUAACUCCGUG
rnacentral:rRNA from 1 species